UUCCCGGCAACCAUAACGGAGAGGACACACCCGUUCCCAUUCCGAACACGGAAGUUAAGCUCUUGAGUGCCGAUGGUACUGCUCUGGGGACAGAGUGGGAGAGUAGGUCGUUGCCGGGUUU
rnacentral:rRNA from 6 species